UACGUAGGGGGCAAGCGUUGUCCGGAUUUAUUGGGCGUAAAGAGCGUGUAGGCGGCCAGGUAGGUCUGGUGUGAAAACUGGAGGCUUAACCUCCAGACGUCGACGGAAACCGCGCGGCUAGAGUCCGGAAGAGGAGAGUGGAAUUCCUGGUGUAGCGGUGAAAUGCGCAGAUAUCAGGAAGAACACCUAUGGCGAAGGCAGCUCUCUGGGACGGUACUGACGCUGAGACGCGAAAGCGUGGGGAGCGAACAGG
rnacentral:rRNA from 1 species